rnacentral:tRNA from 1 species
GGAGAGGUGGCAGAGCUUGGUUGAAUGUACCGCACUCGAAAUGCGGCGUGGGUUCAUAACUCACCGCGGGUUCGAAUCCCGCCCUCUCCGCCA